rnacentral:lncRNA from 1 species
UGUUAUUGUGUGAUCUUUGAAAAUGGCGAAUUACCAGAACCAAUAUGGUGCAACGGCCCAAUCUACAAAUGAUUACGGGAACCCACUCACCAACUACACCGGAUCAGAGCCCCAAUCUACAAAUGAGUACGGGGCUACAGAUGAGUAUGGGAACCCAGUCACCACCUACACCAGAUCAGAGCCCCACUAUACAGAUGAGUAUGGGAACCCAGUACGCGAAAGGGGGAUGAUGGACAAGAUCAAGGAGAAGCUCCCAGGUACUCAUGACCCCUACUCAUCUCAUUCUCAGACAACCUACCCCACUGCACGUUACGGUGAAACCGGCUACACUGGAUUGGAGCAGCACCAUGGGAUGAUGAACAAGAUGCCAGGUACUGACCCCUACUCAUCUCAUUCUCAUACAACCGGCACCACUGCACCUUACGAUGGAACCGGCUACACCGGAACAGAGUACCGCCAGCACAAGGGCACGAUGGACAGGAUCAAGGAUAAGCUGACUGGGACUGGUGGACAUAGGGUGGAUGAUCCCUACUCAUCUCAUUCUCAUAAAACCGCCACCACCACACCUUACGGUGGCACCACCACCACAGCUUACGGUGACAGCACCACCACACCUUCACCUUACGGUGGCACCACCACCACACAUUCACCUUACGGUGGCACCACCACCACAGCUUACGGUGACACCACCACCACACCUUCAGCUUACGGUGGCACCACCACCACACCUUCAGCUUACGGUGGCACCGCCACCACCACCUACCCCCGUGAAAAGAAGGGCAUCAUGGACAAGAUCAAAGAGAAACUUCCUGGUGGACAUCAUUAUUAAUAAUAGGGUUAUGUAAGAGAUAGAUACGUUAGGUAUCGUUUUGUGUUCAAUGUUUUAGUAUGACGUGUAUAAUAAGCGGUG